rnacentral:rRNA from 1 species
GACGAACGCUGGCGGCGUGCUUAACACAUGCAAGUCGAACGGAAAGGCCCUGCUUUUGUGGGGUGCUCGAGUGGCGAACGGGUGAGUAACACGUGAGUAACCUGCCCUUGACUUUGGGAUAACUUUAGGAAACUGGGGCUAAUACCGGAUAGGAGCUCCUGCUGCAUGGUGGGGGUUGGAAAGUUUCGGCGGUUGGGGAUGGACUCGUGGCUUAUCAGCUUGUUAGUGGGGUAGUGGCUUACCAAGGCUUUGACGGGUAGCCGGCCUGAGAGGGUGACCGGCCACAUUGGGACUGAGAUACGGCCCAGACUCCUACGGGAGGCAGCAGUGGGGAAUAUUGCGCAAUGGGCGGAAGCCUGAUGCAGCAACGCCGCGUGCGGGAUAACGGCCUUCGGGUUGUAAACAGCUUUCGCCUGUGACGAAGCGUGAGUGACGGUAAUGGGUAAAGAAGCACCGGCUAACUACGUG